GACGAACGCUGGCGGCGUGCCUAACACAUGCAAGUCGAACGGUGAAGCGCCUUCCUUUUUGGUGUGUGUGGAUGAGUGGCGGACGGGUGAGCAACAGGAUAGUAACCUUCUCCGUUCUUCUGGAUAACCGCAUGAAAGUGUUACUACUACGGGAUAUUCUGGGUCUGUCGCAUGAUGGGUCUGGGACAGCUAUUGUUUCGGUGGGGGAUGGGCUCGCGGCGUAUUAGCUUGUUGGUGGGGUAAUGGCCUACCAAGGCGGCGAUGGGUAGCCGGCCUGAGAGGAUGAUCGGCGACACUGGUAGUGAGACGAGGCCGCGACUACUACGGGAGGAAGCAGUAGGGAAGAUUGCGGAAUGGGGGAAAGCAUGAUGGAGCAACGCCGCGUGGGGGAGGAAGGUCUUCGGGGGGUAAAGCACUUCUUUCGGGAAAGAAGCAGGGCGGCCUUAUCUGUGCGUGGGUUGACGGUACCUGAAUAAGAAGCGCCGGCUAACUACGUG
rnacentral:rRNA from 1 species